UCGAUAUGACAUAAAUCAAAGAAAUACAUUAACUUUUCUGAUGAACAAUGAUAGCUUUUUGUAUAGUUCAGUAUUACAAUAAGAGAGUAAACCUUCAAACUUGAUAACGCUCGGGUGAGCUGUGUAGUACAUAGGUAUGUACUUGUUUCUUAAUAAAACAAUAUUUUCAUUUUUACAUAUAAACAUAAUAUGGAAUUCAUCUCCAAUACCAUUUGUACAUAAGUUACAUGUUCUUUCUUCCCUUGGGAUAUUGAACCAACGACCAGUUUCUAUAGGUAAAUGUAAAUUAGAUGUACGCAGUUUGGUUAACCACGUUCGAUUAAACUCACUAAGUCUCAAUAAGUAACUUUCCAAACAAAACUGUUUUUUGAAUAUCGAAUAAAAGAGGCCACGGGAGGAGUUUUGUAUAUCACUAUACCACUUUUGUAUAAACUGAUCACAUAAAAUUUGCUUCACAACAAUUUUAUCACAAAAUGCAUACUGGUUUUUAAAAAUGUAACUCAUCCCAACUUCAUCAAAAAUAGUUUCUACAUAUUUAAUCCAUUUGAAAGUAUAUUUAGUUUUACUUUGUAAGGAUAACAUCAGUU
rnacentral:lncRNA from 1 species